AUUGAACGCUGGCGGCAGGCCUAACACAUGCAAGUCGAACGAGUGGCGGACGGGUGAGCAAUGUCUGGGAAACUGCCUGAUGGAGGGGGAUAACUACUGGAAACGGUAGCUAAUACCGCAUACCAUCAGAUGUGCCCAGAUGGGAUUAGCUUGUUGGUGGGGGAACGGCCCACCAAGGCGACGAUCCCUAGCUGGUCUGAGAGGAUGACAAGCCACACUGGAACUGAUAAACGGUCCAGACUCCUACGUGAGGCAGCAGUGGGGAAUAUUGCACAAUGGGCGCAAGCCUGAUGCAGCAAUGCCGCGGGUAUGAAGAAGGCCUGCGGGUUGUAAAGUACGUUCAGCGGGGAGGCGUUACCCGCAGAAGAAGCACCGGCUAACUCCGUGCAAGCAGCCGCGGUAAUAC
rnacentral:rRNA from 1 species